AAUACCCGCUGAACUUAAGCAUAUCAAUAAGCCGGAGGAAAAA
rnacentral:rRNA from 1 species